rnacentral:rRNA from 1 species
UACGAAGGGGGCUAGCGUUGCUCGGAUUUACUGGGCGUAAAGGGCGCGUAGGCGGAUGUUUAAGUCGGGGGUGAAAGCCCGGGGCUCAACCUCGGAAUAGCCUUCGAUACUGGACAUCUUGAGUACGGGAGAGGUGAGUGGAACUCCGAGUGUAGAGGUGAAAUUCGUAGAUAUUCGGAAGAACACCAGUGGCGAAGGCGACUCACUGGCCCGUUACUGACGCUGAGGCGCGAAAGCGUGGGGAGCAAACAGG